UACGGGGGAGCAAGCGUUGUUCGGAUUUACUGGGCGUAAAGGGCGCGUAGGCGGUCAGCACAAGUCAGUUGUGAAAUCUCCGGGCUUAACUUCGAGCUGUCGGUGGAAACUAUCUGGCUAGAGUCCGGAAGAGGAGAAUGGAAUUCCUGGUGUAGCGGUGAAAUGCGCAGAUAUCAGGAAGAACACCCGUGGCGAAGGCGGUUCUCUGGGACGGUACUGACGCUGAGGAGCGAAAGCAUGGGGAGCGAACAGG
rnacentral:rRNA from 1 species